rnacentral:tRNA from 2 species
GGUCCGCUAGCUCAAUUGGCAGAGCAACUGACUCUUAAUCAGUAGGUUCUCGGUUCGAGUCCGAGGCGGAUCACCA